UGUACCACAGAUCUUCUCUGUUGUAUCCUGACCAGAGGCAGAAGUGAAUCCUCAGGUCUCCAGAGAAGUAACCCACAUUUCAUCGAUAAUUUUACCAACAAAUAAUAUCCACAUAUUUGUUACUAUGGCCUAAAGAAAUUACUCACGUGAGACGCUUACGGCCGAGGUCACGUGGGGUUCAAAGCAGAAGUAACUGCCUAGCGAAGAACAUGGAAACUCAUUAGCUGCAGAGACGAGCAGACGGCCCAAAGAGCAGAAGAACGAGCACGCCGAUGUGAACCGUAUCGAGACCGCAGUUGACGGCUGAACGCCUUUGAUCCCGCAUGACAGAGCGAUGAACUUUGGGUUUCGUGUGAAAGAGUAGGAAAAUCGAUAUUGUAAGGCCUCAUUUGUUAAAGCGUGGUGUGAACUGUGUCAAGAUUCAGAAACCUGCAUGAGAGAUAAAGUCCUUGAAGAUGAAGGUGAAUCAGAGAGAUCAGAGAUGUUAAGAGAGACACCGGGGUUUCUGAUAAGCCCCCGGAAGGGAUAAGGCGAGGCACGUACGACGCGAGAGGUACGAAAGG